rfam:Ictidomys tridecemlineatus contig097447, whole genome shotgun sequence.
GGGGAUAUAGCUCAGUUGGUAGAGGGCUUGCCUCGAAUGCACAAGACCCUGGGUUCAAUCCUCAGCAUUACCA